AGUAUGUGUGGAGCCGUCCUUGAAAUACCACCCUUGUAGUGUUGAUGUUCUAACGUCGACCCCUUAUCGGGGUUGCGGACAGUGCCUGGUGGGUAGUUUGACUGGGGCGGUCUCCUCCCAAAGAGUAACGGAGGAGCACGAAGGUGGGCUAAUCACGGUUGGACAUCGUGAGGUUAGUGCAAUGGCAUAAGCCCGCUUGACUGCGAGAAUGACAAUUCGAGCAGGUGCGAAAGCAGGUCAUAGUGAUCCGGUGGUUCUGAAUGGAAGGGCCAUCGCUCAACGGAUAAAAGGUACUCCGGGGAUAACAGGCUGAUACCGCCCAAGAGUUCAUAUCGACGGCGGUGUUUGGCACCUCGAUGUCGGCUCAUCACAUCCUGGGGCUGAAGUCGGUCCCAAGGGUAUGGCUGUUCGCCAUUUAAAGUGGUACGCGAGCUGGGUUUAGAACGUCGUGAGACAGUUCGGUCCCUAUCUGCCGUGGGCGUUGGAAGA
rnacentral:rRNA from 1 species